rnacentral:lncRNA from 1 species
CUGGCAACCGAAACCCACCCCGAGAGAGAGAGAGAGAGAGAGAGAGAGGGAGACUUUCCCCCAGCCACCCCCCCCACCCCUUUUUCUCCACGACUGCACUUUGGAAGAGAUCAUGUAGAAAGGACAGAAAGUGAGCAGGGAGCGGGGGCUUUUGUCUAUCCUUGUGCUACCUGAGAGAAACUGCAAUCCUAAGACUUAACAGAAUCUAAAAAUGGUUUAUCAGCCAAGGCAAAUGAUUUGGGUUAGCCAGAAAAUCUUCCCAACCAGCCAUGGAGAUGGGGGAUUUCUAAAGGGAUGUCUUCCCAUCUCAAAGGAAGUAAAUCGCAAGAAAGAAAGUGAAGUGGAAGGGGCAUGUUGGGCUCCAGUGAAUGGCGAUGAUCACCAUUUCACCAAAAUCAAUUACCUCUACACUUUUUAGUCAUGAUUUUUCCAUUUGUAUCACAUAUGGUGUAUGGGUUUGAUGAGGUCAUGGUGUCAUAUAUUGGGAAUUGUUUCUGUGUAAAUCAUCAAGUGUAAGAAGAAACUACGGGACUCUGAGCCUUGCUUUAGAAAAUAACAGUGGACAAACGUGUACCAUAAAACUAGGUUUAACAUUCUGACUCAAGCGAAAGCUCUCAGAAUUUCACACUGUGAAUCCAUGUUUACAAACAUUACAGGUGGGCCCUCAGGCCUGGUUCUACCACAGCAAUGUCUUCCACUACUCAAACUCCACUGCUUACAUGAAACUGGUAAACUACUCUCUCCAUUUUCACCAUCCCUAACUGCUUUUUGCAGAGGCUGAGAGUCCCCCUUUUUUUCAUUUAGAUGUAACAAACCUAGUAGUUUAUUUUCAUCAAUUGUCUGUAUAUCUCUAUAUUUUAUCCAUGUACUCUUUUGAUGUAUAGAAGUAGUAUGAAACUCAUGGUUUCCUUGUGGUAAGUGAUUGUGAUGCUGCCACGGGAUUUGAGACACUGAUGAAUGGUGCUAUUUUGGACUUUAAAUAUGCUCCUUGGCAAGGUAGCUCUGAUGGAGUUAUUUUUUAUUUCCAUGUUCUGAGAAGGUGUUGGUACUUUGUUUUUCUGAAUGUUGUUCUUUAGACUGGACUGACUUGUUUACUUGUGUCUUCAGUGUGGCUUUCUUAUUCAGUGCCGUAGGUGAGUAACUACUUAUAGUGUACAAGUGAGGAACUGAUUCCCUGUCAGGGUCCACUCACAAACUUGCAGUUACAGUGGGAGCAAUCACAAAACUGUAAUUUUAUAUAAAAUCUCCUUUCUGACUUCUAUCCACCUAGCGGAGAAAAACAAGCAAUAAUUUUUAAGCAACCUCUCAAAAUCUGUUUUGAUUUUUGUCAUUUUUAAAGGCCUUUUUGGAAGAGGGACAAGUUUUAAAGUCCUCUUCUAAUACAUAAAAUAGGGGAUAUUGUAAGAAACAUACUGCAGACUUCUGAGAGGUGAAGUCCUAUAGGGGAAAAGAGUACAUUCCCACAGCACUGUCAACAUACGAGGUUUACAUUUUUGUUCUUGCUCCCAGAUAUCUAUCAAUACAAAACAACACAAAAUACAAAACUAAACAGUAUCAUUUAAUCAUGGGAUGUUGUUGUGUUAGAAACAGUCUGAAAGCCCACCUUAAUUUUUUAUAUAAUUCUGUCUUUUAGCUCUUCCUUUCACAGGGCAGGCCUUGUUCUGAACUGUUUUAGCUUCUGACUGUUAAAUACCAAUGCAUGCACUGCACUUCCUUGAUUUCUUUCCCUUCCUCUCCUUCUGUAUCUCUUUUCUUUUCCAAUAGAUUAGAUUCAUCUAUUGUGCUGUAUAUAGAGCAACAAAUAAUAUUCAGCAGUUGUGGCAUUUAUGUAUAGUUGCAGUUGUGUACUGCUGAAAAUGCAGGCUUUUGUAACGAUGUGAUCUUUAAUAAUGCACUACAAGUACCCAACGUAUUUUAGCUAUUUUAGUAGGAUUUGUUCAAUAAAUAUGCAAGCUCUAAUGGUAACUGUGAUGUC